UAGGAUUAAGAGAAGGACCACAGCAAAAAGAAGGACUAGCUAUUGUUUCAAACAAGACAUCACUAUGUUUUAAUGCUUGAAAUAAAUCAAAUUAAGUUUGAAGGGGGGUAUUAAGUUGCAGUUUGAGAAUUUGAAAGAUUGAGUCAAAUUGAAAUCUUCAGAGUCAUUCUUAAUUUAACAGCAUGUUUCUCAGUUUUAACUGAGAAAAUGAAAAUGGCAGAAGCUUUGAAUAUAAAAGGAUAAUCUUAUGAUGCAGAUACCCAGUAGAAAUUGCAACUUGGGUAUGAAGUUAAGUUCUUCAAACUUCAGUUUGGAUUUUGGUUGUGUAAGUAAGCGAAGGAGUCGAUGUAUAGUCUGACAAAACGAAAGCUUUGUAUUAAGAUUAUGUGCAAAAAUAACUAAUGCUCUGGAAUGUGAAGUCAAAUUAAUAAUUAAAAAUGCUGUAGAGAGAAGAAUCAGGGGAAUUGGUAUUACAAACAAAGUCGUGAAAACCAGAAGAACAAAAAAUUAUAAAUAAAAAAAAUCCAACCCUGCAAUCUCCACGAAGAGGGUAAGUAAAGAGAAUUGUGUUGGAAGAGAAACCAAUUCUCUUCCUUUUAAUCUUCUUCUUCUUCAUCCUCUCUUUCUGCUCUCUCUACAACAAGAGAAAGAAGAGUUUCAGACCACCCAUUUCUUCUCUUUCUUAUCUUCUUCUUCUUCCUGAACUUUUUUCUCUCAAGUACACCCCCCAACCAGCAAGAGACUAAAUUCAAACCAGACAAGCAUACAAAUGGUUAAAUCUUU
rnacentral:lncRNA from 1 species